AACGAACGCUGGCGGCAUGCCUAACACAUGCAAGUCGAACGAGACCUUCGGGUCUAGUGGCGCACGGGUGCGUAACGCGUGGGAACCUGCCCUUAGGUUCGGAAUAACUCCCCGAAAGGGGUGCUAAUACCGGAUAAUGUCUUCGGACCAAAGAUUUAUCGCCUUUGGAUGGGCCCGCGUUGGAUUAGCUAGUUGGUAGGGUAAAAGCCCACCAAGGCGACGAUCCAUAGCUGGUCUGAGAGGAUGAUCAGCCACACUGGGACUGAGACACGGCCCAGACUCCUACGGGAGGAAGAAGUGGGGAAUAUUGGACAAGGGGCGAAAGGCUGAUCCAGCAAUGCCGCGGGAGUGAUGAAGGGCUUAGGGUUGUAAAGCUCUUUUACCCGGGAUGAUAAUGACAGUACCGGGAGAAUAAGCUCCGGCUAACUCCGUG
rnacentral:rRNA from 1 species